rnacentral:rRNA from 1 species
GACGAACGUUGGCGGCGUGCUUAAUACAUGCAAGUCCACUGAAGCAGUGGUAGCAAUCUCGCUGUGGAGGUGGCGCACGGGUGAGUAACACGUAGGUAAUCUGCCUUCAGGUCUGGCAUAACUCCGGGAAACCGGGGCUAAUAGCAGAUGAUGCAGCGGCUCGACAUCGAGACAGUUGUUAAAGCUAUGGCGCCUGAAGAUGAGCCUGCGUCUGAUUAGCUAGUUGGCGGGGUAACGGCCCACCAAGGCAACGAUCAGUAGCUGGUCUGAGAGGAUGAUCAGCCACACUGGAACUGAGACACGGUCCAGACUCCUACGGGAGGCAGCAGUAAGGAAUAUUGCUCAAUGGGAGAAAUCCUGAAGCAGCAACGCCGCGUGAGGGACGAAGGGCUUUUGCUUGUAGACCUCUGUAGUGAGAGAAAAAAAUCCCAAUCUUUGGGACAUGAUGGUAUCUCAAAAGUAAGCCCCGGCUAACUACGUG